rnacentral:rRNA from 1 species
CAUACUGCCGUGAAUACGUUCCCGGGCCUUGUACACACCGCCCGUCACACCAUGAGAGUUGGGGAUACCCAAAGCCCGUGAGCCAACAUUUAAUGAGGCAGCGGUCUAAGGUAGAAUCAAUGAUUGGGGUGAAGUCGUAACAAGGUAUC